AGCAGCCGCGGUAAUUCCAGCUCCAAUAGCGUAUAUUAAAGUUGUUGCAGUUAAAAAGCUCGUAGUUGAAUUUCGGGGUUAGUAGGUUGGUCAUGCCUCUGGUAUGUACUGGUCUCACUGAUUCCUCCUUCCUGAUGAACCUUAAUGCCAUUUAUUUGGUGUUUUGGGGAAUUUGGACUGUUACUUUGAAAAAUUAGAGUGUUUAAAGCAAGCUAACGCUUGAAUACAUUAGCAUGGAAUAAUGAAAUAGGACGUUCGAUCCUAUUUUGUUGGUUUCUAGGAUUGACGUAAUGAUUAAUAGGGAUAGUUGGGGGCAUUAGUAUUCAAUUGUCAGAGGUGAAAUUCUUGGAUUUAUUGAAGACUAACUACUGCGAAAGCAUCUGCCAAGGAUGUUUUCAUUAAUCAAGACGAAAGUUGGGGGAUCGAAGACGAUCAGAUACCGUCGUAGUCUUAACCAUAAACUAUGCCGACUAGGGAUCGGAUGAUGUAAUUUUUAAUGUACUUCA
rnacentral:rRNA from 1 species